UACGGAGGGGGUUAGCGUUGUUCGGAAUUAUUGGGCGUAAAGCGUCUGCAGGUUGAUAUCUAAGUCUUUUGUUAAAUUUCCGAGCUCAACUCGGAGUCGGCAGAAGAAACUAUUUAUCUUGAGUAUGGUAGGGGUAAAGGGAAUUUCAAGUGGAGCGGUGAAAUGCGUAGAUAUUUGAAAGAACUCCAAUAGCGAAGGCACUUUACUGGGCCAGUACUGACACUCAGAGACGAAAGCUAGGGGAGCAAACAGG
rnacentral:rRNA from 1 species